rnacentral:sRNA from 1 species
UCCCCAGCUCCGGAAAAAAGAAAAGAAAAGAAGUCAUAAUAUAGUUUAAAUGAAAUCAUCCCACUUAGGCUGACAAAGUGCUUUCUUCAACAGAGACCGUUACAGAAAAUCACAACCAAUCAAAAUGCAGAAAAUGUGUUUGUGGGAUGCCCAACCCCAGUGGAUCUGUCUUAUACAACUAUAAGGCCUAGGGAACAUCACACAAGAUGGGACAGAAAGUAAAGGCCAGAGAAUCAAGAAAUCAACUGUGAGACUGUAUCUCCUAGAAAUAAUACGGAAAGUUCACCCAUGUAUGGUAAUGCCUCCACCAAGUGACCAUCGGAAUAAGAUCUGAACAAAUACAACGCCGGCAGACACACUAACGGAGAAGUGGGGAAUCUCAUGGGAACCCAGGCCUAGACAACGAACUACAGGCAACUAAGGAGUGCCAAGAGUGGGAGAAAUAGUUUUCCCCAGGGAUUAUCACCCUAAUUGGUCAGCCCUAAAUCAUAUACAUACAAGUAAUAGACAGGGAAGGUAGCACUUACAUAUUUAAACGUGUAUAUCUAACAGAAAAGCCACACGUUUGAGAGCUGGGGUCUGAGUGAGAGAGAUUGGAAAGAGGAAAGGGAAGGGGAAAUGAUGGAAGUGUAUUUUAAUUAAAAAAAAAAAAUAACAAAACCAAAACCCAUGGACCUUUCUGAAAGUGUAACCAGGUACCACAGCCACAAAGCUUGAGUUUUUGGUCAGGAACAGCAAAGGUCCUCUCUGAAACAGUUGUACUCACUUGCACAGUUGCAGUGUUUCCCACUACACUGCAAGCUCCCCGAGUGCACACUGUGUGCCUGCCAUUUUAAUAUGUGCCUAAACGCCAGUUCAUGUUAUGGGUGCCUCUUGUCCUGGGCAAGGCUGUCAAAACAGUAAUGUUCCCUUCCCCUGAACCCCCUGAACCUCCUGGUUUCUAUUUUCUUUCCUGCACUUUAGAAGUAGAAGCACAGAAAGAAAAUUGUCAUCCUUGGACAAACCCGGUUUUGGAAACUUAUUCCUGUUCAUUAAUCCUGGUUAACUGAAGAACAGGAGGAGGCGUUCUGUUGUAGAGAAAAUGUACAUGAAGAAAAAAGGAGUGGAACAGCGUGUUACUUAAGAGGACCUGCACGGGGCUUCCCGGAAGGCAUCCUACUGGAGUUCCUGCAGAGGCCUGCCCGUGCUAUACACACUUGCUUCUCCACACUGAGCUCCCACUUUAACCUGUUCCACAUUGGAUACAUUCCCCUUUUAAGUACACCACUGUCAAUGAAAGAGAUUAUCUUGGGGUUGAGGAUUUAGCUCAGUGGUAGAGCACUUGCCUAGCAAGCACAAGACCCUGGGUUCGGUCCUCAGCUCCAAAAAAAAAAAAAAGAGAGAGAGAUUAUCUUAUCUUAAUGCACACGCUCGUUAUAAGUAUACGCAUGUGGGUGCUUUUGGAGGGUGUGAGAUUCCUGGAGUUAGAGUUACAGGCAGUUGUGAGCAGACGCACAAGGUGCUGGGAACCAAACUCGGGGCCUCUGGAAGAUCAGCAAGCACUCUUUGGCACUGAACCAUCUCUCUAGCAACUAAAGUUAAUUCUGAUAGCUCCCGACAACACAACCUUAAUUGCUCCAAACACCUACCUUGCAGUUGUAAGAAUAAAGAGAGACAAAGCGUGAAGCACCUAGCAGGGUCCUGGCCCAGAGCAGGCAGUGAGUGACAUUUCAGGGCAGGGCACAGUGAGAAAGGCGAUGUUGUUACUGGCUUCCUCCACAGAAGAAGGCCUUUCCCCAAGAGAUAAAAGGACAACAAAAGGGAGGGAAGCCCAGGCUAUGAUAUGCUCAUUUAUUCAAAAUGUCUUUUAUUGAAACAGAAUGAAGAGCGAGAAAGAGCAAGGUCUGGGAAAAUGUCUUUGGGCAUAGGAUGGAUCCCAGACCUAACGGUUAUAGCGAGAUGCUAUCCCCGUCCUGACUCUUGCUGAUGAAGUGAACAGAAAGCAGCGGGGAGGAGAGGGGGUUGGGAAUGGCACUCUGAGCUCUCCUAGAUGGCGUGAGGCGCCUUGGAGCCUUUUGUAUGUACAGGGUGGCCUUGCCUCUCCGUCUAUCUUGCUAGCCAGCCCUCCGUCACCUUU